AUUUUUCAUCAGUUAAAUCAUCAGUUGAAUCUGUACAGAUGUUCCAUGUUAUCAAUGAAGGUCUAUUGGAAGGUAAUCCAUUUUAUGUAUGGAACACACUGAAAUGAGAAUUGUAUCAUUGUAUUGUCUGUUCUGUUUUUGUGUCCAUACCAUGUGAACACUAUCCUGAGAUUCCAAGAUCGACAGAGUCCAGUCAAUCCAGCCUCAAAUUCAAACCAGUGAUCAUCUUUCACAAUCCUACAUCUCCCAUAAUUGCUCCUCUUUCUUGAGCUAAUAAGCUUCAUCCAGCCAAGUCAUAUUAUAAGCCAUCCAAACAAUAAUGGAUGCUUCCAAACAUCAUAGGAAGCAUCCACAAAGACUGCCUGCAUCCAUCCAGUUUUCUCCUAAUAUAUCACAAUUAAGUUAAUAGAACAACACAAAAAUGGUGAAGAUUUACUAAAACUAACAAAGGUUUAUGCAUCAAAACUCAACAACUACUGUCCACUACUCUCAAAAGAUUUCUGCAAUGAGCUACACUUCUAACUUCCUCCUUAUCCAUUAUAUGAUUCUCCGCUUCAAGAACUGUUUUUAUAAAGAAGCACACAACCGAUUAAAAAGGUUUAUGCAUCAAAACUCAAUAACUACUGUCCACUACUCUCAAAAUAUUUCUGCAAUGAGCUACAAUUCUAACUUCCUCCUUAUCCAUUAUAUGAUCCUCCGCUCCAUGAACUGUUUUUAUGAAGAAGCACAAAACUGA